rnacentral:rRNA from 1 species
CACCUCUAGCAUUACUAGUAUUAGAGGCACUGCCUGCCCAGUGACAUUAGUUAAACGGCCGCGGUAUCCUGACCGUGCAAAGGUAGCAUAAUCAUUUGUUCUUUAAAUAGGGACUUGUAUGAACGGCCACACGAGGGUUCUACUGUCUCUUGCCUCCAAUCAGUGAAAUUGACCUCCCCGUGCAGAGGCGGGGAUACACAAAUAAGACGAGAAGACCCUAUGGAGCUUUAAUUAACUAACUCAAAGAAAACAUAAAUAACCGCCAAGGGAUAAUAAUCUUCUACCUGAGUUAGCAAUUUCGGUUGGGGUGACCUCGGAGAACAGAAAAACCUCCGAGUGACUAAAAUCUAGACUUACCAGUCAAAAUGUAGUGUCACUUAUUGAUCCAAAAUAUUUGAUCAACGGAACAAGUUACCCUAGGGAUAACAGCGCAAUCCUAUUCAAGAGUUCAUAUCGACAAUAGGGUUUACGACCUCGAUGUUGGAUCAGGACACCCCAAUGGUGCAGCCGCUAUUAAAGGUUCGUUUGUUCAACGAUUAAAGUCCU